UGGCCACAUUGCAUUGAAACACCAGUUCCUGCAUGAUCACUGAAGUUAAGCAAUGUCAAGCCUGGUAACUACAUUGAUGGGUGGCCACUUGGAAAUACCAGGUACUGUAAU